AUGAGAUUGGGACUAGGGCGGUGGCGUCUGUCUAGUGCAAGAUUUAUAGGGAAUCAUGGUUUCUCAAUUGGUGUGGAUGAUGUCCAACCAGGAGAAAGUUUAAAUCAGAAAAAGAAAAUAACAAUAGAUAUAGAGUAUGAAAAAUGCCAUGAGCUUAUUGCCCUAUAUUCCAAAGGUGACCUCAUACCGCAACCUGGUUGCAACAGAGCUCAAACACUGGAGUCUCAGAUAUCUUGUGUUCUAAAUAAUUUAAGAGAAACGGCCGGAGAUGAUUGUAUGAGUACGCUUCACUGGAGGAACAGCCCAUUGAUUAUGUCUCAGUGUGGAUCUAAAGGUUCUCCAAUCAAUAUUAGUCAGAUGGUUGUAUGUGUUGGACAACAAUCAGUUGGAGGACGCCGUGCCCCAAACGGUUUUAUAGAUCGAACACUUCCCCACUUUCCUAUUAAUUCAAAGACCCCUGCGGCGAAAGGUUUUGUUGCUAAUUCCUUCUAUACGGGUUUGACUGCUACUGAGUUUUUCUUCCAUACGAUGGGUGGACGGGAAGGUCUUGUUGACACAGCGGUAAAAACAGCAGAAACUGGAUAUAUGUCCCGCAGACUAAUGAAGGGUCUUGAAGAUCUCUCAGUUUUCUAUGAUCAGACUGUCCGUAACGCUAGCGGCGGUAUUGUUCAGUUUGUCUAUGGAGAUGAUGGUAUGGAUCCUGUAAAGAUGGAAGGAAAAGGUGGUCGUCCCUUAAAUUUGGACCAAUUGUUUAUGAAAGUCAUGGCCACAUGUCCGCAAAGGGGACAUGACACGUUAUCUCCAGAGUUAAUCUUGCAAAUUUUUAAUGAUAAGCUCUCCGGACAAGAUGCCUCAUCUGGUGGUUGUAGCGAUAAGUUCAAGGAGAUGUUAACAAAAUUCUUUGAGGACCGCAUCAAAAUGCUUAGAAGCACAAGGAGAGCGCUUCAACUAGAUGAAGAUCGUGUGGGAAAGAGGGACUCUAGCAUUGAAGAACGCGUUGCUGCUGAUAUUUCUGGCAUAUCCGCGAAACAACUGCAGGUUUUCUUGGACACUUGCUUAUCUCGUUAUCACUCAAAAAUAAUCGAAGCAGGAGCAUCAAUUGGGGCAAUUGGGGCACAGAGUAUUGGAGAGCCUGGGACCCAAAUGACACUGAAAACCUUCCAUUUUGCAGGAGUAGCUAGCAUGAAUGUUACUCUUGGAGUUCCCCGCAUUAAGGAAAUCAUCAGUGCUGUUAAAAAGAUAAGCACACCAAUUAUCACCACAGAACUUUUGUCUGAGCAGGAUGAGUUGUUUGCAGCCAAAGUGAAACGUUCAAUUGAGAAAGUAGUGCUGGGUGAGGUGGCAGCAGCCAUAAAGAUUGUCUUAAAAUCAAACCAGCCAUAUUUGGUUGUUGAACUCGAUAUGCAGCGCACAGAAGGGUACAUGGGAAUCUCUUCUGACACUGUGCAGUUUUCAAUACUAAAUGAUCCAAAAAUAAAGUUAAAGUCUGAGCAUGUUCGUGUCAUCGAUGAAGCCAAGUUGAGAAUAUAUCCAACUGGAAAAGAUAAGUCCAAACUUCAGCUUGAGCUGCACAAUCUCAAAUCGAUGCUUCCAAAACUGAUUGUAAAGGGCAUUUCAAGUGUUGAAAGAGCUGUUGUCAACCCUGUUUUAAGACGCGAUGGAACUUUCGACAGAUACAACCUGUUGGUUGAAGGAACAAACCUCAUGAAAGUUUUGGGUACUCCUGGAGUUGAUGCUAAGAGAACAAAAAGUAACCACAUUUUGGAAGUGAACAAAACACUUGGAAUUGAAGCUGCAAGGAGAUCUAUCAUUGAUGAAAUUCGGUAUACCUUUGAAAAUAACAACAUGAUGAUUGAUCUGAGACAUAUGAUGCUUCUGGCAGACCUGAUGACAUACAAGGGCGAAAUUUUGGGCAUCACGGCUGGCGGCAUCGCGAAGAUGAAAAGCAGCGUGCUGAUGCUGUCUUCAUUCGAGAGAGCUUCGGAGCAUCUCUUCAACGCUUCGUACGCUGGUCGCGAGGAUCAGAUAGAGGGAGUUAGUGAAUGCAUCAUCAUGGGCAUACCCAUGCAACUCGGCACUGGUAUCCUCAAAGUCAGGCAAAGGCUCCAGGAUUUGCCUGAAUUCAAGUACCAGCCCGAUCCAAUUCUACUGUGA
rnacentral:rRNA from 1 species